CUCCUCGGGUGCUCUGUUUGGCGUGCGACGAAUCCUGCACCACCACCGCCAAAGCCAAGGGAAGUGUUAUUUACAUAGCUGAAAAACAAUGCAUGAUACGGUUAUAUAGACAUCUCUAGGAAAAUAAUGAAUUGCACAUGUAGAUGGAGACUAAAACGAAGAAGGCAUUAAGAAUCAAGACGAAGGUCUGGUCAUAGUAUCUAUACUCAGCCAAGAGUCUCAAAUGAAGUACCAGCCAUGACAUAGUUAAGUUUCAGUUAAAAUAUCACGUAAGAACUUCUCAACUGAACUUAAAAGAACAUACUGAGACUCACCAUUUGACACCCACUGAGAAGGUUCUCAUAUAGAUGGAUCCACGAGACAAGCUUACGAUGGGUUAGACCAAAAACAGGAAACAUUUUCCUGUCAAAGGUAUUUCAGAAUUAACGGGAGGAAAACACAGAAAAAUUACUGCCUCUUGUCUUGUCAUAAUUACAACUAUUCUACUAUCAUCAAACGGUGGACGGCCAGCCCUCCCACACAUCUAUGAAUGACUAAAAGAAGAGCCUCUGUCAGAAGCAAGGGCAUUAUCACAUACCAUUGUUUCCUAUCUGAAUUACAAAACAUAAAAUUUUAACUAAACGUAAUAAUGUAUUACAGGAUAACCAAAUCAACUUGUAUGCAUGAAAAAGAAUUUAGCGUAUCCAAUCAUUUGCGGCAACAAGACCAACUUAUAUUAUUCAAAGGAAAGUCAACAUAUAAUAAUACGGAUAUCAGCAAGGACUGCGCUAAAUUUAUUAACCUGUGUUUUAAAUUUAUAUUCAUUUGUUAAUCAGGUAAACAAGUAAAAACACCUUGAGCAACAGGCAUAUCAAUAAGGUGAAAGAAGUCCAAAUAACCCCCUGGUGUUUCACAAACCGGCCACUUUACCCCCUGAGGUCAAAAACCAGGUAUCUAACCCCCUGAGCUUUCCUAAACCGUCUAAAUCGCCCCUAGCCCUGCUUAAAGUGGUUUUUUAGAGCGGUUUUGGUGACGGGGCAAUGUGCACCUCAUUCCUGAUCUGCAUCCGGCUUCGUGGAUUCUCCUCCGAGCACACAAGUCAGUGUCGUGGCACUCCGGAAGCAUCACGUCGAUGCAUGGCAUCAGCACGUAGCUCGUAGAACUCAAGCUCCCCGGAUACAAUCAGAUACAGUACACAUAAAGACCUGAUGGAUCGGUUCCCUCCUGCACAAGCAUGCACGUACACACAAGAAGAUGUGCGAUCAUGUCUGCGCUGGAUAGGACUAACCUAAUUGUGAUUAGCUCUGACAAUGGACGUCGUCAAAUGCCGGCGGCAGCCGCAGGUGGCACCGGCGUGAGCUUGAUGAGUUGUUGUCGGCAGAGGAAGAAGCGGACGUGGCCACGGAGAGUGUUGCCAGGGAGACUACGGCGCACGGGGGAUGCGAUGGAAAGCGAGAUUGCAAGCAAGCCAGAACACAGCCGACUACUGGCUGGUGCUGCUUCCGACCAGUACCUCACCGCCGCGUUGUUGGCACGGGACCUAAGUGCCAGGGUGCAGGUCAAGCGGCGUGAAGGUCAACGACCUGAGGAUGUGAGGGAAGAGAUGAACCGUGCAGACGUGGUACUCACAACCAUGCCACGUCACCAAAACCAUCCUCAAAAACCACUCUAGGGGGCGAUUCAAAUGGUUUAGGAAAGUUCAGGGGGUUAAAUACCUGGUUUUAGACUUCAGGGGGUAAAGUGACCAGUUUGUGAAACCCCAGGGGUUAUUUGGACUUCUUUCCAAUAACGUUGGAAGGGAAAAAAUACACAACAAACUGCUUGGCGGUGCAUAUCCUUUGUUUAUUAAGAUGCUAUUUUGCAGGAGCAACUGAGACUUAAUAGCACACCUUCAGCACCAUGGAUGUUGCAUAUUCUACAUAAGAUCCCUCCUCUUCGUUGCUACAAAAUGUAUGAAAAGCAAAAAAUAUCAUAAAAGAGAACAGAGGGCAGGUAGAAUGCUGUCAUAUUAAAAAAAUAGGUUCUCAGAAAAAUUAUGUCGACCUUAUCACUACUGUAUGUGCAGGUAAGGAAGUAACUUGAGUUGUGACCUAUGAGCAAGUAUAUAUCUCAAUAGCAGGUGAAAUAAAGUCAACCUCUGAAGAUUCUUACCAUAUGUAUCUCGGCUAGAUGUCUUUGCUUCGAGCAAAUCUUUCAGUCCUUUCAUCGCCGUCACAACUUCUUCAGCUUUUCACUGUAAAACCUACGUGGAGCAGGGUAGCAUAACUAAGAAACAAGAAAACUAACAAUCUUCUGUUUCUGAUUCAAAGACGGGAGUUUAUGCAUCUCAAAAUUCUUUCCAUUUGCAUCCCUUCUUCAGCCAUACGGUUGCCGGAGCGCAGCCCCUGCCAUCAACCAACUCCGGUUGGACCAGCCUGCAAAAGCCCAUGCGCUAGGAUUACAGCCAUGACAACUAAAGACCACAAUGAUCAUCACUUCUAAACACCUGACAUGGUGUGAGAAUUUAGGAGCGGAUAGCACGCAGGCAUGAACCACAGUUGUAUAGAUGACUGAGAGGGUGGUCAGGGACGACAGACUUGCUAACGGCUAGGAGCAACAACCAGUUAAUUGUAGAUAAGAAAAUAGUUAACCUUUGAAGAAAAUUAUGAAAAAAUUGCAGUGUCAUGCACAGCCAGCAACAAUAAAUAGCUAACUAAGAAUUCAUGGAAGACUUAUCCUACGCUAAACUAAAAGCUAGUUAGAACUAUAAACAUGCAAGCUCUCACAUUAAUUCGAACUGCUAACCUCAAAUAUGAGAUCCUGAAGAAUGAAUGCCGUAUGGUGAUGACUGCCAAUAUGGUAAAUACAUGUAUUUGUUAAGGUACCUAUAAACUAAAGGCAAGAAAACUGACAAUUUUGAGAUCAGGGAACCCAUUCUGAGUAGGCCUUGUACCAAAUCAAAUGAACAAACAAAAAUUAUGCAGGGGAAUGGAUCUGUGGUUGCCGGAUUCGCCACCCAUCAUCUGCAGGUUACAGAGAGUACCAAGAAUCUGUGUGAGUGUGUGGCAGUCACCACCACAUUGGCACACCAUUAGUCACGGUCCAAGCGUACAGUUUGAUCUGCUCAGCCUCGCCACCGCAAACACCCAACACAACCAUUAGAACUCUACAAUCCUUGCAGUUAUUUUAAAUCCUAAGAAUGCAAGAAACUUACCAAAACAACAGAUUGAUUAAAAUGCUUCACCCAUGGUCUUGGACUCUGGUGUCAACAUACUCCUCAAUUGACUUCCUCUGUCAGACAAACCUGGAACAGACAAACUAUAUCGCUAUGAAUUAACAUGAUUGAGGCAAGCACUGAGCAGAGGAGAGAAAAAAUAUCUGAAAGAAACUGCUACCAUCUUUUGCUUGUUCUCGCAAAGAAUUCAAUCCAUAGUAUGCCAAGAAGCUAUGAAAAAUUUGCAAUUGCUUCAAAGAAUAUAAUACAUUGCAGAAAUAAAAUACUCUAUUAGAGAGAUGGCAGGCGAGGUAGUAGGGACAAGAGCAAGAACUAACUUUGAGAGGAGAUGGGCAGACUCUUGCGUCGUGCCCUGGCUGACCCCUACGCUUACGCCAUGCCUCAUUUAUCUAUUCCUCAUUCCUCCGUGCUGUGAUAGAAAUUCAGAAUGGCAAAUAAAAGUAUUCUUAGAUUGCAGCCUUAAUUUCUUAUCCUUUAGUAGAUGCACAUUUGAUUCUGAAGGAAGAAGAUGGGAAAUAUGCAUAUAGCAAGGAAUAGUAAACAGAUUGUUCUUUCAAACUUGCAUGACUAUUUGUUUUUUUGGUAAACAUGCCAAUCUACUGCCAUCUCGCUGGCCUUAACUUCUUACCUUUUCAUAGAUGCAAAUUUGAUUUUGAGCAAGUAGAGAAGCAAUAUACGAUAACAUACAUCAAGAAAUAGUAGAUGAAUGCUCUUUUCAGCCUUAAUUCUUUUCAGCAUAUAUACGACCAUUGUUUUUUCCUGUAAAUACACUGAUGUACUACCAUCUCAUUGCAAAUUAUGUAUUGUGCCAAGGAAAAAUCGUAUUAAUUUUCAGCAUAUAUAUAGCAACGAUGUAUUCCCCAGCACAUUGAGGGAGAAAAGGGGAAACACAUGGUCUGUGAGGAGAACGAACAACCACAGUCAUGAAGGACCAACGGAUCUCACACGUACCUCAACCAGCUUGCCGGGGGAGCCGCCUCCAUGACGAACCACGACGGCCUCCUCCAUCUCCCCAGCAGCUCAAGCCCACCGCAACCAACCCGUUGCUUCUUGUCCUCGGCACCUAUCUCCCCUGCUCCUUGCAACGAUGGCGGCACGGGAGAGAGAGAGAGGAGGAGGAGGAGAGGUGGGAGCGCAAAGAUCUGCGCCCGAUCCAGAAUCACGGCACGCAGCGAGUGAUGCCGGCGACCUGCGCCCGACCCGGCUGGACCGAGAACUGCCGCACCCGCUGUUGCAUCUCGAGCGCCGGGGAGAGAAGGCCGCGUCGGCCGCUGCGUGGAGCCGGCGGCGCGACGGUAGGGAAGGAGGGGAUCGGGGGAGGGGCGGAGAGCACGGGGGAGAAAGCAAGAAUAAAUAAUACUUUAUGUACCAGACAAAAGAUCGGAGAUUGCCAUGAGACGGCGCGAG
rnacentral:lncRNA from 1 species